CCUACGGGUGGCAGCAGUGGGGAAUAUUGGGCAAUGGGCGCAAGCCUGACCCAGCAACGCCGCGGGAAGGAAGAAGGCGUUCGGGUUGGAAACUUCUGUUGUCAGGGACGAAGCAAGUGACGGUACCUGACGAAUAAGCCACGGCUAACGACGGGCCAGCAGCCGCGGUAAUACGUAGGUGGCAAGCGUUAUCCGGAUUUACUGGGUGUAAAGGGCGUGUAGGCGGGACUGCAAGGCAGAUGGGAAAACCACGGGCUCAACCUGUGGCCUGCAUUUGAAACUGUAGUUCUUGAGUACUGGAGAGGCAGGCGGAAUUCCUAGUGUAGCGGUGAAAUGCGUAGAUAUUAGGCGGAACACCAGUGGCGAAGGCGGUCUGCUGGACCGCAACUGACGCUGAGGCGCGAAAGCGUGGGGAGCAAACAGGAUUAGAUACCCUUGUAGUC
rnacentral:rRNA from 1 species